rnacentral:rRNA from 1 species
UACGUAGGGAGCAAGCGUUGUCCGGAAUCAUUGGGCGUAAAGCGCGCGUAGGCGGCCCUGUAAGUCCGCUGUGAAAGUCAAAGGCUCAACCUUUGAAAGCCGGUGGAUACUGCAGGGCUAGAGUCCGGAAGAGGCGAGUGGAAUUCCCAGUGUAGCGGUGAAAUGCGUAGAUAUUGGGAGGAACACCAGCGGCGAAGGCGGCGCUCUGGGCCGGUACUGACGCUGAGGAGCGAAAGCGUGGGGAUCAAACAGG